rnacentral:lncRNA from 1 species
GCCAAAGCCAUGUAUCAGCCCACCUCCUCCUCAUUAGAGUGGCACCUGAUGUCGCCGAGUGGACCACAGUGUUGCCUUCACUCGCCUGUACCAGGUCCGGUCGCCUCUUCCUUUGCGCAAUUCGUCAAGCAGGUCAUAUUUGCGACGUAUGCGUGAUGCAGUAAUCAUUCAUGAGCUUGUUUUUGGUGGUUGGGUGCAGGUUUGAUCCUGUGGUUGAAGUUGAACACUGGGAACAUGGAGGAGAUGGUUCCAUAGGGUUCAAGUUCUACAACGAGGCCAUGGUUGUAUGCAUGUCUGUUUAGGUUUACUUGCUGUCUGUAUGGUUGUUAAAAAACAAAGAUAGGCCUGUUUGGAAAAUAAAGUCAAGCCUAUUUGUUGAAAAAUAAUUUAAUUAACUAGCAAGUGGCCAUUUGGUGCUAGCGAAGUGAGCUAGCUAGCUUGUGUUGAUGCAUGUAUGUUUGCUCAAGACUAGCUAGUUGCAGAAGUUGGCACUAGUACAUUAGAGGAGACACUGUGUCAGUGUAUGUAAUCAGGAUCAGGAUGUAUACUUCAUACUACUGUAUAGCUUAACUAGCAGUCCCUGCCAAGCAAACCAAUUAACAUUGAAGUGGUCCUCCAUUCAUGUAGUAUGUACAUUCCUGGUUCUUUUUCCUUCAGUUUUGGUUUGUAGAUGUAAAUGUAAGUUAUGUAAUCUUGCUUUUGCUUUCUUCUCAGUAUUUUGUAGUUCUGUAGCAUUUAACUCAUGUGCCUAAGGCUGAUGCAUCCACUAACAUGUUAACAUCAUGUACCGUGUGUUCCUUCUGAAAGAUGUAGAGCAGGGGUUCUUACUUGUUGUUCUUAUACGCGCUAUGCUAUCAUGCAGGUCUCAAUUGGACCUCUCUAAAGAGCAACAAUAUAAAGCUUUUGAGCUUACGCACAUGAAUCUCCAAGAAUCCGGUGAUCUACUGAGCCAGUUGUAUGCUGGGCGAGAAAGAGAGGAACAGUAAACCUGACACAAUGACACACCCUUUGCCUGAUGACCAUUUCCAAUCAUGAUGACCUCCGGUCGGUGCUGAAGGUAUUUUGUUCCUUCUAUUUUCUUAUGCAGACUGUAGAGAAUCUUGUUUGUUAAAUUCUGAUGAAAAACUGGAUGUUCUAAUCAAAGUUGUACAAUCAUGUACAAUUUACUUGUUGCAGUAUUACAUUUAUCUGUUAAUGGACGAGAUACUUUCAAUGUUGAUUUAUAGUGACAAUGCAAGAGUUGUAGAUAAAUUUCUGUACUUCCAGUCUACUUGAUUAUUAAUUCUUAGGUAUGUAGGAUGUAUGCACCUGCUUAUGCCCUAUUUUCCUAGAAUGUGCUUUAUAACUGAGAUAUCUAUCUAUGGACUGGCUGUUUUCUGUACACUAAAUUCAUCUUAAUUAAGGUGCUAGGGGCACAAUUUGGUUGAACUCAUAUAGGCAAAGAUGUUGCUAUAAUCAAUUAUAGUAAACCAUUUGCACACAGAAUAAUAUUUUAACAUUUGACAAAAUGAUUAGGCAUGUUUGACCCACUAUCAAGCAUACUCCUUUCUCCUCCCUCCGUCCCAUAAUAUAAGAGCGUUUUUCGUGUAGGGAGUAGCAUUUAUUUUUUCCUAUAAAACUUUGCCUCUCUUGGUCCUCAACUUUUGAGACCUUGAUGCUUUUGAGAAUGUAUGGCGAAUUUGGUUUCGUUAUAGCAAUGGAACCAGGGGGUUGCCUCUCUGUUGAUCUAAGAAAGUUUACAAUGUUGAAAAAGAAUUGGAAGUACUGAUGUCAUUUAAUUUGUUUGAAUGAACAAUAUAUUUAUAUCUUUCUUUACAUGGCAUUCUUCAUCAGUUUAUUGCAUGCCAAAAGUAGCCAAUAGUGUUCUGCUAGUCUAAUGCUUCUGUUUUGUCGUAAGACUAUAAAAUAUAAACGCUGGUAAAUACUUCAGUGGGGAUGCAAAUGUCCUUGUACUGGGUCAAUAUCAUUUUAUGAUUGCAACAAGCCAUCUUGGUCUAACUAUAACACAUAGGAUUGUUACAUUUAAUUAGAAAAAUGUCAUGUGCUUUGAAUUAUAUGAAUCUUACAAGUAACUCGAAAAGCAUGAUGUGUUCUGAACUACUACAAACUUAUAAUGAAAUUGACAUCAGUGUGGUUUAUCGGUAAAUUAUUCCUUCUGUACACAGAGCAACGUGUAGUGCUUAGUCUAUUAUUUGGAGUAUGUGUUCUUGUUGAUUCAUGUUACCCUAAAAAUUGCAUAUGAAGGAUCAAAAGGUGAAAUACGUAGUCAUGUUGUUUUAUAGCGGCUAACCAGUCAAUUAGAACAUCUAAGUUUUUUCACUGUAUGCUUGAUGAAAUUUGAACUACAUUACAUCAUUUUCAUCUCCCUUACAACCAGUCUAAUCAUUUCCUAGGAAUGAGAAACGGUACUGGAGGAAUUGUGAUCUAUGGCAAGGGUGAUGAUGUUUAUGAUGAUGAUUGUUAUGAUCUAUACAGUGAUGAGCAUUAUGAUCCAUAUGGUUAUUUAGGGUGACGAGUCUAAUGAUCAUUCUUGAAGACAUGCAACAAAGUGAAGUUAUGAAGUCCUGGUCAAUCUAGCUUACACAUAAUGCUUGGACCAUUAUAUUGUUUUGCACUAUAAACUUCCUAGAUAGAUCAUGAUGAUUAGUGUAACUUUGAUGUAACUCUUGUGAUAUUUUGAAAGUUGUACUAAAUAUAAUAUAUGUUACUUGGUCAUGUGUGGGUUGUGCAAUUAUGAGAUAUAUAUGAAAUGGAAAAC